CCCCAUUUUGUAGUCUGGUGGAACACAGUUCAGGUGCUUCUUAAAUCUGUGUCUCCUGGUCUAUGAUGCUCAGUUUGGCUUGAAUAAAACUCUUUUCUAUUCCUAUUAUAGAUUGCUUAUUGAUUAUAUGUGUUGACAGGAUGAAGCAAAAACAUAGACAUUCACAUGGAAAAAUUCAUAGCCUCAGCAGGUUAUGAAAUAAAUUAAAAUACAAGUAAACCCCUAUUACCUCGCUUUUAUAUCAUCACCAUUUUUAAAUGGCAAACAUUGCUUUGGGUAUGAAACAUUGAACAAGUUUCCCAAAGGAUCGUAUGGCCAAAUACUGCAAAUGUUAUCAAAUAGUUCACAUUCUGGAAGCAUUUGGAAUAACAGGAAAAAAAUAGGUAUAUAGGGAGGUGGAAGAAAAAUAUACGCCAAGCUGUUCAUGGAAAGCUAGCGAGGGAGAAUUGGGAAUAACAAAUGACCAACCCUAGCGACCCACUAAACAAACAGGGUCCGUGAACUGUGCCAGCGGAUGGAUUAUGCACGCAGAACAAAAGCUCCAGGAAGAAAGCAAAGUUAGGUAUUUUGUGCUCUGGUCCCCACCAUGGAGAACCUUACUCCAAACUAGCCUCUAGUGUGAAGACAGGCAGAGAAGUUGAGGUAGGAAGUGUCUGCAGUUGAAUCUUCAUUCUGAGUCUCUUUUUUCCUUACAUCCCUCUCUUUACACCCCCUUAAAUGAAGGGUGCUGGAGGGACGAAUGCCUGAGGUUCCACAGGCCCACACAUUCGCAGACACAGGUCAGGGCGGAAUAAUCUGACAUUUGGGAUAUGUGUCAAAUGUUUUCGCCCUACCGCAGCCCCAUCUCUUCCUGGUCUUCUGUAGGGAAGUGGGAUCUCGCAGUAAUUGACUGAGUGGCAGCAAACGCAGUUAUGACUACAUUUUCUAAUGGAUUUAUUUAGGAGACCCAGCCGAUACCCUUAACAGCCACAGUUCAUUAGUCCAGGCACCAAAAUUAUAACAAUCCAGUCUGCUGAUUUUUUCCUUAGGCUUCACAAGUCCUCAAGACAGAGGAGGCUAGAAUGAGGAAACACAUCCUCACCCUGGGGUCCUGAGGGAAAACAAGGGUGGGCUCUCUGCCUGUGGAAAAUGUUAGGAUGCUAAUCCAUACAAGGAUUUUAUUAAGUAACGGCCCUGUACCUCCUCCUCUGAAAUCCAUGGCAUGUUCUCAGUACAUGCGUUUCCAUUAUCCUUAGUUCACCAAUAUUUGUGUACCCAGCUUACGUCUCCUUUUAUUCCAUAAGGUCCCUGGGCACAAGGAAUAGUCUCUUAUUCAUUUCACCCCCCCCCCAGCAGCUGGAACCCCGUAGGUGUUCAAUUAUGACUGCUGCAUGUAUGAAUUCAAGACACAGGGCCAGGAGGCUGAAGAGAGAGGCAAGGUGUUGGGCAUUCAGUGAGGCCCUUGCCACUCACUGGAAAGAUGUUCAGAUGAUCCAUGUUCUUCGCGCAAUUGUGUCUUGAGGCUGAAGAUAGGUUGAAGGAGCCCAGAGGGAAAAAAGCCAGUGAAUGUGUAGAUGUGAGAUUAGGCUGUCACAUCGUCAAAGGAAAUGUCCGCAUCUUGCAGUCCAGGAAGAUGCCUGCACACCUGGGGCCCCUCAUCUGGGUCCAGGGAACAGUGGACGCCUGGUACUCAUUUUGCAUCAUCCUCCUCCUCUCUCCUCAAAAGCCAUUCUCUGGUGACGGAGUCAUAUUCUCCUUCCUGCUCCCGGAUGCCCUGCAGACACCCAGGACCCACCCUGUCUUGUCUCCCACCUUCACUUCCCAGUAAUGGUGCCUGGAGAGGAAGCUCGGAGAGCCCAGGGCCAUGAUUCAGCUCUGGAUUCUUUCUGGAUUCGCAGGCCACCUGUCCUGCUUUUUUGCACGUCUCACACUCUUCACAUCGUCAGAGCAGAUGAAAGAUGAGGUUGGGAUGGGCAGUUCCUGCUUCCAGAAUCACAUCAACUGUGGAGAGAAUUAGAAUUCCUAGCUGGAGGUCCAUGGACUGCAUCCCCACAGGGUUCUCCCCACAUUCAGGAAAUAUGGUCAGGGUCAUUCUUCUGGAGUGCACUGGGGACAGCACAGGGACCCAGCGGGCCAGUUGCCUCAGGGUGCCUGACCACCAAUCAGUUCCGGAACUACAGAGAAAAAGGAGAUGGGAAAACAUCCUGAGCAUCCCCAUUCGGAGGGGCUGAGCCUCUCCUGGUCCCCAUCACAAGGAAAAACGAGGACCCCCUUCCCUGGGCAGGACCCUGCUUCCUCUGCUUGGCUGCAACCCCAUUCCUCCUGGCACCCCAGCCUGCCUCAGAUACUCUGUGGUCUGGCGAGCUGACUUGGCCAAUGACUCUGCCACAGAGCCUGUGAGGACCCGACAUGACUUUUCUCCUGCCUUUGUUAUAGGCAUUUUUCUCCUUUCUAAAUACUGCCUGGAAAUCAGCAGCAUAGUGGCAAUAACCCCUGGCCAGCCCAUGCUACCCCCUCGACACUCACCAUUGAACGUGUCCAUUCCUGAACGCAGGGUUUCUGAAAGGGGAAAGGGAGUCUGUGUUAGGUUCCCCGGGUGGGGACAGAUCUGGGAGGGUCUGCUGGCAGAGCCAGAAAGGCCAUGGGAGAUAGAGCAGGGCCACCAGGGGGCUGUGAGCUGCAGGGAUCCCAGGGAGGAAGUAAGCAGGCACCCCCCAACCCCCGCUUCCCUCCAGCCCACCUACCCAAGAAGUGCUUCAUGCUCCUCUCCACAAACUCUGAUCUCUGGUACAGCAGGUGGAUCUUUUCUUUCACCUCCGGGGGGGCGGUCCACAGCUCAGGAUCGGUCACCAUCUUGGCCCUAGAGACGAAAGACUAUUUGUUGGCCAAAGAGGGCUGGAGCAUGGGGGCGGCCCAGGCGCUCUGAGGGAGAGGGAGCCUCCCCAGGCGCACCCACCCCAGCACUGGCCUCACAAAGAAAGUCCUCCCUGGGCUUCACGUUCUAAACUCUGGUCCUCAGCUCGGGCUGUGGAUUAGCAUCACUUGGAGUUUUAGAAUCUACUGCUUUCAAAACCACAGCGAGGGAGUUCCCAUCAGGGCACAGAGGAAACAAAUCUGGCUAGGCACCACAAGGUUACGGGUUUGAUCCCUGGCUUUGCUCAGUGGGUUAAAGAUCCAGUGUUCCCAGGCUAGGGGUCGAAUUGGAGCUGUAGCUGCUGACCUACACCACAGCCACAGCCACGCAGGACCCGAGCUGCAACUGGAACCUACACCACAGCUCAUGGCAACAAUGGAUCCUUAACCCAUGGAGGGAGGCCAGGGAUCGAACCUGUGUCCUCAUGGAUGCUAGUCAGAUUUGUUUCCACUGAGCCACGAUGGGAACUCCUAUUUCUAUUAUUCUUCUCUGCCUGUUUUAGCUGGCAUUUGCUGUAUAGAAGAGGUCUUCCUUCCCCCUCGCCAAAGAUUAAAUUUUUUUUUGAUUAUUGAAAACAGGAGAAGGAGAAGACCUGAAGAAAGCAUCUUGCUUACAGGAGGGCCCAUGUUACUUCAUCUUAAGGGGAUGCUGGCCCUCCUUAUCUCCGUGGGUUUCCCUGCAGCCUAGGCCCCUGCCUCACCUUCCUUGGGGGCAGCCCUGAUCUGCUCCAUCCUCAAGUUCCAAGCCACCUGGGAUUAGAGGAAAGGGUUUUCAUUUUACUAUAAUUCAGGAGUUUCCCAAUAGAUGCCCUGACCAAUGCCACCUGUGUCCCAUUCUGCUGUUUGUUUUCUUUGCCUGUUUCCUGCUGUGCUGUGCUGGGUCCCAACAGAAAUUUGGAACUCAGAGAGGGAGACAAGAUCCAACUAGCAGAAAUGCACUGGAUGGGGAUUUUCUCUUGUGGCUCAGCAGUUAAUGAACCCAGCUAGUACCCGUGAGGAGGUCGGUUCCAUCCCUGGCCCCAUUCAGUGUGUUAAGGAUCUGGCAUAGCUGUGAGCUGUGUGCAGUGGAGGUCACAGAUGUGGCUCAGAUCUGCCAUUGCUGUGGCUGUGGCGUAGGCUGGCAGCUGUAGCCCUGAUUGGACCCCUAGCCUGGGAACUUCCAUAUGUUCUGAGGGUGGUCCUAAAAAAAAAAUGCACAGACAAAUCAAGACUCUGUGGGGUAGGAUCCUUCUGAGGCUGGGAACUAGAAGCAACACAGUGCAUCUAAGAGUCUGAGCAAAAGCCUAACAGGAAGACCACUCAAUUGUACUUAUUGAAAUCUAUGGUGGUGCAAAACCACAAUUUUAAAGAAAAUGUCUACCUUGAACAUUUGAAUUUUAAAAAUCAAUAUAGUUUUUGUAAAAAAUACAAUGGGAGUUCCUGUUGUGGCUCACCAGGUUAAGAACCCAACAUAGUGUCUAUGAGGAUGUGGGUUCGAUCCCUGGCCUCGCUCAGCGGGUUAAGGAUCUGGCGUUGCCUUCAGCUGUGGCAUAGGUCGCAGAUGUGGCUUGGAUCCAGUGUGCUGUGGCUAUGGUGUAGGUCAGCAGCUGGCAGCUCCAGUUUGAGCCCUGGCCUGGGAACGUCCAUAUGCUGCAGGUGCAGCUGUAAAAAAAGGAAAAAACAAAACAAAAUGAAAUAAAAAAAUGCAGUGGGUCGCGGCAACAGUUGUAAAAACAAUACAGAGGAGGAUUUAAGGUUGAAAUGUUUCUUCUCCUUUCUUCAAUCCCAAUACAACUACUAGUAUUAGUUUAGCGAAACCAUUUUGUGUGAGUAUCAGAAAGCACGACAGGGUCCUUUCCCGCUCAGAGUGGCUUCCCUCUCGAGAGUCAAGCUCAUCCUUGAACACCUGUUAUCCCCUGCCCCCCAAGAACAGGUGAUUCAGCUCUGCCUCCCUGUGAACCAGUACAUAACCUCAAGGACCCCUGCUCAUUCUUGGUUCCUUCCCUCCUUCCUCAGGGGUGAACCCAGGAGAGGACUGGCCAAAAACACCCCUAGCCUUACCAGGAAGUUCACUGUCUUCUUAUGCCCCUGAGAUCUCUCCUCCUCCCCAGAUUUUCUCAACUCCUUCAGAUGCUCUAGUUGCUUCUGAAUUUCCUCCUGGAGAAAAAGAGCACUUGUUGAAGCUUAAAGUUGGCUCCUGCCAUCUUUGGUUGGUGCCAACUCUAGAGGGGAAUAAAGCGGAGAGUGCUGCAGCUAAGAGCACCAGGAGAGAGGAAGAAUGAAUCCGUUACACCAAGGGAAGCAGAGCCAGGAAGUGGUGAGAAAGAUUUCUAAUGACCUGUUAGGCACAUCUGGAUUCAGCCAUACCUGAAGACCUCUGAGCUACAUGAACCAGUAAAUCUGUCUUUGGUUUGUACUGUUUGCCAUUUACAGCCCAAGAAGGCUGGCUAAUGCACCGACCUCCCAGGGUUGUUUGGAACAUGAAGCAAGCCCUGGUCUAUGCAAGUGCCCAGUGGCGAAGGACCCCAGUACAGGAAGCCCUACCUUGUAUUCCAGGGCGGCCUCCUCAAUGGGGCGCACCCGGUGGCCUCGGUGCUCCGGACUCAGCCCGCACAUGAGGCAGAUGGGUUCCCCAUGGUCCUCACAGAAGAGCAGCUGGACUUGCUGCUUGUGACGCUCACACUGCGGCAGGGACUUGGGGCUCAGGCUUCCCAUCUGCAGGCCCACCUGCUGCUCGUGGCUGCCACAGCUCUUCCCUGGGAACAUGUCCUGGCACCCAAGGCAGCUGGGUGAGUGGCCGCGGGAGGCCUCGGGAGCAACGGAGAAGCUGCAGGAAUUGUGCGCACAGCUGCCACCAACUGGAUCUGCUUGCUGGGUGCGGCAAAGGGGACACACAGCCUCAUUCUGCAGCCUCCCUGAGGACAUAGCAGCGGAAGAAUCUCCUGAGUGACAAACCUGGGAUGUUACCAAGGAGUGCUGCAGACGCAGCUUAGAGAACCUGGUUCUGGGCCUCGUACUUCCCCGUCAGACCGAGGCCUCUCCCUCAGUUGUCGCCCCGCUUCCCCCCACUGAGGCGGCAGAGGAGCCACGGGACUGAGGGCUCAUGGCUGGAUCUCACGCCAGUGCCGAGACUGGACUUCUUGGACGUUUACCCUAUCGAAAGGCCUUGUGCUGUAAAUCCUUUAUCUUCCUCCUGCACGUGCACUGAUCUAGCAGGUGAUAUAAAGACAGCAGGACACUCUGCUGUUUGCUGUGCUACUUAACAACCACCCAGACUGCUCACACUGAGUGCGCCCAGGGGAUGGUGAUACGUUCACAUCCAGACCCCCAACCCCUCGCAGAAUCCCUGCCUCGCGGUGAGCAUUUGGGAAGUGUGUGCGGAACGAAGGAGCAAAUGGGCCACUGCCCACGGCCAGGUUCAGGAAGCACGAGGUGAAAAUAACAAGGGAACUUUGCAAGCUGAAGGGUAGAGCCCACCAAGGGUAGAGCCAUGGUGACAUUCAGCUAUGACCAGCUCUGCCUAAGACCACAGCACAGCUUCGUAAAUUGGAGGAGAGGAAAUAGAAACUCACUCAACCCAUGAGUUGCUCCCACCUCCUCCUCUCGCAGAGUCCCGGGAAUUCAUAUCACAUCUUGACCUCUGGUCUAUGGACUGGCCCCUUUUUUUUGCCACUCUGCCUCAUAUGGAGUUCCCGCCCUGCAGCUUCGGCAACACUGGAUUCUUUUUUUUUUUUUUCCAUUAUAGUUGGUUUACGGUGUUGUGUCAGUUUUCUACUGUACAGCACAGUGGCCCAAUCGCACAUGUAUGCAUUCUUUUUCUCACAUCAUCCUCCACCAUGUUCCAUCAUGAGCGACUAGAUACAUUUCCUUGUGCUGUACAGCAGGAUCUCAUUGCUUAUCUCUCCAAAUGCAAUAGUUUGCAUCUAUUAACCCCAGACUCCCAGGCCCUCCCACUCCCUCCCCCUACCAGCACUGGAUUCUUUAACCCACUGUGCUGGCUGCGGAUUGAACCUGUGUCCUGGUCCUGCAGAGACAGCACUGAUCUCAUUGCACCACAGCAGGAACUCCUCAUAUCACAUCUUUAAGUGACCUCUUGAGGUCCCCAAUUACCAUUUCCCCUCCUCCCUUUAAAUAGAAUUGAUCGCUGUCCCUGUGGCUGCUUCCCCAACAAACCCCCCCCUCGGAAAAAAAAAAAAAA
rnacentral:lncRNA from 1 species